UACGAAGGGGGCUAGCGUUGCUCGGAAUCACUGGGCGUAAAGGGUGCGUAGGCGGGUCUUAAGUCAAGGGGUGAAAUCCUGGAGCUCAACUCCAGAACUGCCUUUGAUACUGAAGAUCUUGAGUUCGGGAGAGGUGAGUGGAACUGCGAGUGUAGAGGUGAAAUUCGUAGAUAUUCGCAAGAACACCAGUGGCGAAGGCGGCUCACUGGCCCGAUACUGACGCUGAGGCACGGAAAGCGAUGGGGAGCAAAC
rnacentral:rRNA from 1 species